GGGGGCGACUUGGUUUCGACGUGAAUUUCGAAGCUUAAGGUGCAUGCCGAGGAUGUAACUUCACCUCGUAAAAUAAAGUUACAAGCCAUAAUAACUGGCAACAAAAACAGUAAAAUCGCUAAAAUUGCUAACGAUCCCAUCUACAACGAUGUUGAGUUAGCAAAAGCUGCUUAAAAACCAGCAUAGCGACCGUCCACCGAUUGUGCUUGUACGAUCGGAUGUUUACGAAAGUAAACGGGAUGGUCAUAUUAUACAAGCUCGCAGAAAGGCUUGCCUAAAGCCUACCUGUUAAACUUAAAUCAGGAUCGCUGUUUUAGAUCUUGCCAAUAAGAGGCUAAAACGGCUAAAUAUAAAAAUUGGCUAAGCAUUGUAGACCCAAGAGUAGAGGAUUUGCGGACGCGGGUUCAAUUCCCGCCGCCUCCACCA
rnacentral:tmRNA from 1 species